CUGCAACUCUGCUGAAAAGGGCUUAAGUCCAAUGCGAUGCAAGUGAAACAGAUUUUUAAGAAUUUUAGAGGAGGUUGCAAGAGGAAGGGCAAUAGAGCUCCUUUUGCUUCCACUCGCAGACACUACUUCAUUCAGUUCCGUGAUGAUCCUAGACAUAGCCAGGAAUUGCCACUUCUAGUCAGAGAUUGUAUGUCCAGCAUGGCUUCAGUGUAAACUGAAAGCAGUGCAUGGCGCAGGUGCACUGUAAUUCUGCUGCUGUCAUGCCCAGCCAGACAGAGGACUCAGAGGAUGAGGAGGAGGCUGAAUUUGAGCCCCAAGUGGAG